UACGAAGGGGGCUAGCGUUGCUCGGAAUCACUGGGCGUAAAGCGCACGUAGGCGGACUCUUAAGUCGGUGGUGAAAUCCUGGAGCUCAACUCCAGAACUGCCUUCGAUACUGAGAGUCUCGAGUCCGGGAGAGGUGAGUGGAACUGCGAGUGUAGAGGUGAGAUUCGUAGAUAUUCGCAAGAACACCAGUGGCGAAGGCGGCUCACUGGCCCGGUACUGACGCUGAGGUGCGAAAGCGUGGGGAGCAAACAGG
rnacentral:rRNA from 1 species